UGCAACCUGACACUCACUAACUCUGUAGUAGUUUUACAUGUGGCUUGCUAACAAGAAGAGAGAGAGAGAAAGGAGAGAGAGAUAGACAGGCUGAAAAACUCUCAAGGAACCUGGGGCAUUUACUUGGUUAGUUUGAGCAAGAGAAGUGCCUAGAGGAGCGCCAGUAGGAGAAAGCAAAGGUCAGGAGGCAGAGGCAGAGAGGAAAAUUCUGCGCAGGCCAGUUGUGUUGGCUAUUUGGGAGAGUGAAUUAUUACUGGGAACUGGCUCACAUUAACUAACCUUGGAUGGGAGUAGUUUCUUAAAGCCUGUUAACCAGUGGACAAGUUAAGGCUCAGAGGUGGACUUACCUAAAUUGGUGAAGUUGGAAUUGUGCACCCUGCAAUAGAGAGGGAAGUCGGUGCCAGAUUGCUGGUUGUUAGAGGAGAUAGAAGUGGAUUCAACGUAGAGCAGAAGAAGG